CUAGUGCUUCACUUUGUACUGAUCAGAAAUGUUGAACAUGAUCCCCUGAACAAGAAAACUUGCUGUUUCUAUGGGAGAAACAUGAAAAUGGGAACAUUAUACCUAUAAGAUCUCCUGUGCUGGAAAACAGGGGAACAUUAGCUGUCAAGAAAGACUCCCACAGAUCUACAGACUGAGAAACAAAUGCAGAAGUGCUAUAUCAGGAUAAUUUUACAUUUUGGAUGGCAGUACAGAUGAACAUCGUGAGUUGAAUAAGAAACUGCUGGAUCAUCUUCUCUCAGGCUCCUUCAGCUUCACGUGAUGCAUCUCGCUGGAAUAAAGCCUUGCAAAAAGAGCCUUUCUUGCCUCUCUCGCUGAGCCAGCUGUGGCACUGGGAAUUCAUCUGAUUGCCAUGACUUUUCAAAUACAAUGGAAUGUUCCUAUUCAGAAAAAUUUUCUAAAUUUCUGAUAUUCGUUCAUGGUGUCAGUAUUGGAAAUCUAAAGGUAAUUAUGUACUGACUCUUCACAGAGAGAGAACCUACAAGUGUAACUGGAAUAUGCACUGCUCCUCCAAGUAUUUGUCCAAGCUUACUACUACACACUAGGUAGCUGUGCAGCUAUUGUACACUGUAUCCCUGUUCUUCAUCUCCCUACAAGGCAGCUGCAUACUUGAAGGAAUAGGUGGGCUGCAUAGCCAUUUUUACCAUUUUUUCAUUGAAAUAUGGGUCGACAAAGCCAACAGGACAAAAAGAGCAAUUUAGGCUUGAAAUUAAGAUUUCCAUGAUUCAGAAUAAUAUUUACCUUGUGUUUUGUUGAUUAAGGUUAAGCGAACAGUCCUCUGAAUCAUAUUUUUUCCUUUUUCAUUUCAUUUGGAUGAACCACUAGAAAAUGAUGAGGUAAAGAACAGAUUUGUUGUAACAGUUUAAUCUUCUGUGCAGCACCAAUUGAGGCUGAAAAAAUAAUUUUAAAGUUCAGAAAAGUGUCCGUUUCUUAGAAUUCAAAAUAUGUUGCAAAUGUUGAUUUUUCAUUUUUUAGCAUAUUCUUGUCUUUAAUACGCCCCUUUGGAAUAGCUUAGAUCUCCAGGUCAAAAGUUUUGUGGAAAUGUAUGAUUUGAGGUUAAUUUUUUCAGGAAUGUCAGUUCAAAGUUCAAUUAAACUCUUGAGGAAUGACUAAGUAUUUCAGUUCGCCCAGCUGGGCUUGCUUUUAUGUUGUGUUUUAUGUUACAAAUAGAUUUAGAUGGUAUUUGUAAGUCAUAUGAAAUUUUUAACAGGAAAGUUACUUGGAAAUCUUCUUCCAAGAAAAACAUUACUGCUUAACACAAAAGUUCUUCUGAAUUUAGCAAGACGUGUCACAUUAAAUGGCAAUAAAACAAUAAAUCUCAAAAAAAUUUU